GAUGAACGCUGGCGGCGUGCCUAAUACAUGCAAGUCGAGCGAACAGAUAAGGAGCUUGCUCCUUUGACGUUAGCGGCGGACGGGUGAGUAACACGUGGGUAACCUACCUAUAAGACUGGGAUAACUUCGGGAAACCGGAGCUAAUACCGGAUAACAUUUGGAACCGCAUGGUUCUAAAGUGAAAGAUGGUUUUGCUAUCACUUAUAGAUGGACCCGCGCCGUAUUAGCUAGUUGGUAAGGUAACGGCUUACCAAGGCGACGAUACGUAGCCGACCUGAGAGGGGGAUCGGCCACACUGGAACUGAGACACGGACCAGACUACUACGGGAGGCAGCAGUAGGGAAUCUGCCGCAAUGGGCGAAAGCAUGACGGAGCAACGCCGCGUGAGUGAUGAAGGGUUUCGGAUCGUAAAACUCUGUUAUUAGGGAAGAACAAAUGUGUAAGUAACUGUGCACGUCUUGACGGUACCUAAUCAGAAAGCCACGGCUAGCUACGUG
rnacentral:rRNA from 1 species